AAAACGAGCGGCGGUGUCGCUUGCAGCCUCUGGUAAAGAUUGUUGGCACAAAGGAGAGAGGCCUAAAAUAGGAGACGCUGAGAGAGGAACAGAUACAUCCUCGUCGCAGCAAGACCACACGACGGCUCACCCUCGUCAGCGACAGCUUCCCUCUCCCUGUAAUCCUUAGCCCCCUGCCAUCUGGGUGCGCCGUCCCCUUCCAGGCACAGCCGCCAGCGACCUUUCCUUCACCAUCACCGUCUCUCCACCCUGAGCUCCGACCUACCCACCAUGUCAAGCAGGUCCAGAUCCGCCACGGCUCCCACAGCCACGCGCCGGCAGACCAAUCAGGCGCGCAGGUGCACGACGUGUGGUUAUACUCUUCCACUCUCGUGGCCACCAUUCUGCUUCCUCCCCUCCCUUGGUUCAGCAGCAGUAGUGACACGCGAUUUGGAGGGAAUAAGCUGAGCAAUUGCAGCCGUCCUCCUCGCCUAGGAGGAGGAGCUCCAUCACAUUAGCAGCAGCUCAGGCAGGACAUGAAGCCGUGGCUCUUCAAGGUCAUCCCUGGCCCCACCGACAAACCCAGGAUCGCCGUGGACUACAAGGUGUACCCGUGCAAUGCUUGUUUCCUUGAAUCAGAAGCUCGAUGCAAGCAAACUGCAGUGUUUAACUGAAUGUGUUUUGAUACCAUUCUCUGUUUUAGCUAGGGAGAACAGACUAGUGUUUUUUGUGCACGCUAUUCCUUCGAAACUUGUAUGUCUGUGAUCAAAUAACUUUUAUGACACGUGAAGUAUAACAGUCUGUUCUGUCUCAUUUGAUCAA